CGCUCACUGUAUAUAUUUUGAAACGUACAAUCAUUAAUUUGUUUGGCUUUAAACUUUGGCUUUAAACAAUGUCAACACAAUACUAUAAAGUUUAAUUAAACGGAGAAAAUAUUAUAUGGAAAAAGGUUUUGAAUUUUCAACUCCAUUUUUAUGUAAUUUCCUUCCUUGGAGGAUUUAGGUUUCGUCCUUUUUGUCAACUGUUUAAAGCGGUAAUGGAAAACCGUUUUAUCAGUCCUGAUCCAGGACUCCGCUGAUCGUCGCCUGAUAUAAAAAAAAAUUGGUUUCGAUGAUGACCGUCGAUGGUAACCAGCCGGCCACGCACGCUUCCACCGGCGACCGUCGACCGCAGAUAGCAACUGAACAUGCCUUAUCGCUCGCCAUAUUUUCUCGCUAAUACAAACACACCAAGAGGCGUCCCCGAGAAAAUUACACCGCACUGAAUUAUGUGCUCAGGACGUUGUUCCGCCCCGAGGUAGUAAUUCAACGGCUUCGGACGGCCGACGCGACGUUUAUUAACGGGGCGCGAACCCUCCACCGGCCGAGAGUACGUGGACAGCACUCUGUCAAUAUUUGCUCGGAGAAGUAGAUGUUCUCAUCAAGUAUAGUGGAUGGAUGGAUGGUCGCUUAGAUGGCCAUAUCAGAUUUCUGAGCACGAAUGCUGAAUCCAAAAAUAAAAACACUGAAAAAACUACAGACCGACCAAUGGAAUUACACUCCUUUCGCUUUGACCGCUUAAUUGCCGUAAUGGGCUGAAUAAUAAUCCUGGAUGGGCGCGGAGGUUAACCCCUCAAACUGCGACUGGAGCUUCCAUUAGGGCAAUCUUGUUGUUUGCGUAGCCAUGCCACCAAGGCCCGUAUCGAAUGUCGCUGGAGGAGUGUACUGUCGUCAUACACUAGCUUGGAACAACACUUGCUGGAUGGUUAUAAUCAAAGGGAAUUGAAAGAGUAAAAAUCAACGCGACGGCUAUAAUCACCAUUGAUUAUUUCAGAAUUGAGAAAAAUUCAAAAAAUACUGUUCCAAAUAACUAUCAGUAAACUUAAUAAAUAAAUACUCCUGAUCAAUUUGAAUAAUUUUAAUAAUUAUUCAGCAACAAAACAGAAUUGUUGGAAACAGACAACAUGAUUAUUACUUAGCUUACCACAAACUCGUUAAUUAAAUUACUAAUUGCUAAUAAAUUACCCUAAUUGUUUUCACUGAGUUAUUUACUGGUACGAUACCCACUGGUGGGAGAAAAACGAAAAAUGGGUCAACACUCAUUCAGAAAAUUACAGCACAGGUUUAUUUGACGUGAUGUUGAAAGGACCACCACUUAACGUAUCAGUCAGGUUUUCUACCUGGACAAGAAACACAACCAACAGUUACGUUCUGUAUACCUUUUAUUUGCCACAAUAAACGAAUAUGCUAAUGUGA